CAGAUUUCAUACACUUUAAGUAUUUCAGUGUGGCGUAUCUUAUAUCUUAGCACCAGAAGACUGUACUCUUUUGUUAAGCUGGAUGAAGUCCCACCUCUUGAAACAAAUGGAUAUUUUGCUAUUCAUUUCAGGAGAACAAAGGCUUCAUAUUGAGUAUCACAUUCUAGAGAUAUCAGAGAAAACCCUGAGAUUUCUGAAGGUGAGACGACACCACAUUCUGAGUAUUUUCUUGUGACAGUGAGCAUCUAGUUCUGUAUGCUGUCCUUAGGAGGAAAGGUAAAAACAGUACUUUGAAACAUGAGAAAUAUUUAAGCCUUGUUUUUUUCUUCUUUCAAGAUUUCUUUCAAACCAUGGUUCAUGCAGAACAAGUUUCAGCUAUUCUAGAGUACCCAUGUUUCUAUCGCAAGCAGUCCUUGGAAUGGCAUAGCAGAAACAGCAGUAGGUGAAAUUUAUGGUUGUCAUUCUGAAAAUAGAGCCAGAGCUAACAAAUGUCUUAAGAUUUGAAAUGGCGAG
rnacentral:lncRNA from 1 species